AUUGAACGCUGGCGGCAUGCUUUACACAUGCAAGUCGAACGGUAACAGGCCUUCGGGUGCUGACGAGUGGCGAACGGGUGAGUAAUGCAUCGGAACGUACCCAGAGGUGGGGGAUAACGCAGCGAAAGCUGUGCUAAUACCGCAUGUGAUCUGAGGAUGAAAGCGGGGGACCGAGCAGCAAGGUUUGGCCUCGCGCCUGUGGAGCGGCCGAUGUCGGACUAGCUAGUUGGUGGGGUAAAGGCCCACCAAGGCGACGAUCCGUAGCUGGUAUGAGAUGACGAACAGCCACACCCGGACUGAGACACGGCUCAGACUCCUGCUGGAGGCAGCAGUGGGUAAUUUUGGACAAUGGGGGAAAACCGCCACCAGCAACACCACGUGCGGGAAGAACCCCGUCGCGUUCUAAACCACUUUUGGCAGGAACGAAACCAUGUCCGCUAAAACCGCGAGCCAAUGACAGUACCUGAAGAAUAAGCACCGGCUAACCACGCG
rnacentral:rRNA from 1 species